AAUGGGUAAGAACCCGGGGUUGCUUAAUUGAACCCUGCGGUCGAAUCUCGGUUGCUAGUGGGCCAGUCCGGGUAAGCUGGACUGGCGAUGCGGGAUGAUCCGAACGCUGAGUUAAAGUGCCUAACUGCUCGCUCACCUAGAUCCCACAAAAGGUGUUGGUUCAUCCAGACAGCAGGACGGUGGCCAUGGAAGUCGGAACCCGCUAAGGAGUGUGUAACAACUCACCUGCCGAAUGAACUAGCCCUGAAAAUGGAUGGCGCUAAAGCGUGCGACUUAUACUCAGCCAUCAGCGCGAGACGUAUGUGCUGAUGAGUAGGAGGGCGUGAUGCUCGUAUCGAAGCCUUGGGCGUGAGCCUGGGUGAAACGUGCAUUAGUGCAGAUCUUGGUGGUAGUAGCAA
rnacentral:rRNA from 1 species